rnacentral:rRNA from 1 species
GAUGAACGCUGGCGGCGUGCUUAACACAUGCAAGUCGAACGGGAUCCCAGGAGCUUGCUCCUGGGUGAGAGUGGCGAACGGGUGAGUAAUGCGUGACCGACCUGCCCCAUACACCGGAAUAGCUCCUGGAAACGGGUGGUAAUGCCGGAUGCUCCAGUUGACCGCAUGGUCCUCUGGGAAAGCUUUUGCGGUAUGGAAUGGGGUCGCGUCCUAUCAGCUUGAUGGCGGGGUAACGGCCCACCAUGGCUUCGACGGGUAGCCGGCCUGAGAGGGCGACCGGCCACAUUGGGACUGAGAUACGGCCCAGACUCCUACGGGAGGCAGCAGUGGGGAAUAUUGCACAAUGGGCGCAAGCCUGAUGCAGCGACGCCGCGUGCGGGAUGACGGCCUUCGGGUUGUAAACCGCUUUUGACUGGGAGCAAGCCCUUCGGGGUGAGUGUACCUUUCGAAUAAGCACCGGC